rnacentral:misc_RNA from 1 species
UUAAGUUCAGCGGGUAUUCCUACCUGAUCCGAGGUCAACCUUGAUAAGUUGGGGGGUUUCACGGCCGGUCACCCGUCGCGCGCCCUGAGCGUGGUAAAUUUACUGCACUCGGUACGACGACGAGCCCGCCACUGGGUUGAGAGCCUGCGGCAGCCGCAGGGCUCCAACACAAGCGCAGGCGCUUGAUGGUUGAAAUGACG